GGGGGUGUAGCUCAGCUUGGUUAGAGCGCAGGACUGUCAAUCCUGAGGUCGCGGGUUCGAGUCCCGUCACUCCCG
rnacentral:tRNA from 1 species